rnacentral:misc_RNA from 1 species
ACUUCCUCCCAAGAGUGACCUU